CAACUUCAGAGCAGGGAGCUCAGGGCACCCCGGGGUACGGCAACCCUCACCCUGUCCAUUUGCUUCCUGCCUUCCCCUUCUCACCCAGCAGAGGUUCCUGAAACACAGCUGCAUGCUUUCCGUUUGCUGAGACUUCCAAGCAAAGGUCCAAGAAGCACAGCAGAGACCCUUCCAGGAGCUGAGACCAUCCAGUGAAGAUUCCCAGCAUGCCCUGAGGCUGCCACAGUAGGGAGGAGCCAAGACUAAGGAGAAGUCAGGGAGCUGGCAUUCUGGGAAAUGGAGUCCUGCACAGGGGAGGGCUGAGACUUGCAUGAUGUCAUGACACAGGCAUUCUAGGAAAUGGAGGCUUCCUGCCUUGGCUCCUGGGUUUAGAGGCUUGGUGGGGGAGGGGUUAUAAAGGAAUUAUUCCCCUAGGGGGGCUGCCUGCAAUCUUCUCCCCCCACUCCCUUUUCCCCUUCCUGCCCUGCCAGCUGAUUAUUCCUUAGAACAGAAGCUGCCUCAGGAUGCAGCCUGGCAUACAGCAGGUGCCUAAUAAGUGUCUAUUGAUUGACUGACUGACUGAUCAUUCCAUGGAUAUAUAUGCUCACCAGAGCCUGGGGAUUGUUACAGACAAAAGAGUGGUUGCCAUAAACUCUGACCCCCAAAAUAUGGGUUCAAGACUUUGAAUUGCCAAAAGCAUAAAGAUAAUUUUUAGUGUCUUGAUUUAAAUCAAAAAUUAGUGGUCACCAUGGGAAAAAUUCCUAAAUAUGAAAUACCCAAGUCAGCUGGGUUUUAUGGAGAUUUUAAUUAAUAUAAAUUAAGGCAUUAAAGAAAGGGAGAGAGACAGAGUAAGAGGAAAUAAUAGGAAGGCUAGGGCCUAGCCUUUCUUUUAAGAGAGAAAACUAAGUCAGUCUUUAAUCACUCACCACAAGAUCUUUUCAAGCAAAACUCUAGUGCUCAGAGAGACCCUCCAGUUCAGCUCCUGAGCUCCACAAAGUUCAGAGAGAGAGAGUCAAUUCAGCUUCCUAAGCUGAACUAAGUCCAGAGGCCUCUGCCCUCCUUUUAAAGAGAAUUUUCUCCUGUCACCUCCCCUAAAUUUUCACAUCUACCAAUCACAGUAGACGUUUUCCAAAGGACUGACCAUUCUUAGUUUUUCGUUCUCAACUUCUCCAGUUAGAUUAUAUGUUCUGAGUAAGUUCAUACCUCUUUGCCCCUUGCAAGUUGCCUGACCUUUUAGUGAUUAAUUUGACUUUCAUAGGUACUUAGCAUCCUUUUGUAUUAGAUGUAAAAAUAGACCUAGUUUAAAGGCUUUUGCCUCACUAUAAAUAUGGGUUAAGUACUUUCAUUGUUCACUAAGGAGUUUUACAACUUUAUCUUCCCCUAAGGUGUGCCUAAGUAUGGGUGGAGUAAUGUAAAGUUUCCAAUACAUUCCUGAUUAAGUACCUUCAUUGUUUAAAAUUGGGAAUAGCCUUAACCAUAACCUUAAGAUAAUGUUCCAAGGUAGUCUGAGAAAUUUUAAGAUUCACAAUCCCCCCUGAUGUUCAUUGGGAGACUAGUCUCCCAAUUGAUCAUUUAACAUAAUCAUCUUGUAGUCCUAAACGCACUUCUAACUACAGAUUCAUGCAAUAUUCAAUUUUCUUAAGAGGAAAUUAGAGUAGUGAGGGAGGAAAUAGAAAAGAAAGAAAGCAAAACCAAUGUUUUGCUAGGUGCAUUGACAGAAAGCCAAAUUAGGGGUAGUCCCUUUUGGUAUAAACAUGUACAUUUACAAUAAAUGUUCAAUCAAACUUCAGUUCAAUCAACCAUACCCAAAGUUCAUUCCUGAUCUUCUUGCUGUAGUGUAGGUUUUCUGGCAUCUUUCUGCACUAGUUCAUUCUCUGGAUUUAGGAGUUAGCAAGCUUCUUCCUUGAAGAUCUUUCUCUCAAACAAAAUCAAAAUCUUGGAUUUUUAUAAAAAUACAAUCUCAAACAAAAAGUAAAAAAUCUUGGAUUUUAAAUUAAAAUACAAUCCCCCCUGAAGUGUUAAAAAAAAAAACAUCCAGUUCAGCUCAGGAUGCAAUGUUGAGUUAUGGGGGUGUAUGAAUCAAUUAUCAAAACAAGAGAAAAAUACAACCAAAAACACAAGGGAAAAAAAUUUCAAAUUAGGCCCUUGUAUAGGUCCGCUUUAAAGUAAUUUCUAUUCCACAAGUCUGUAGGACAGAAUGUAGUAAUAUUUCACUUACCCAUCUGCAACCAAGACUACAGGAAGUUGCCAUAAUAUAAGAAGAAAAGGAACUAGAAUUCUAUUUUGAUAGGGAAGUGUAAUAGUUAAAAGAGUGUGUUUGCCAUAAACGGUGACAGAUAAAAGAGUGGAGGUUAUAAAUUUUGACUGCGGAAAUAUGGUUUAAAUCAAAAAAGUGGUCACCAGGGAAAAAUUCCCACCAAAUAUGAAAUGUACCCAAGUCAGCUGGGUUUUUAUGGAGAUUUUAAUUAAUACAAAUAAGGAAUUAAUGAGAGAGAGAGAGAGAGAGAGAGAGAGUAAGAAGAAACAAUGAGGCCUAAGCCCUAAGAGAGAGAUCAGUCAGUCUUUAAUCCACUCACCACAAGAUUUGUCCCAAGCAAAAUUCUAGUGUUCAGAGAGACCCCGCUACUCCAAUUAGUCCGAGCUCCAAUUCAGCUUUUUCAAACUGACUUCCAGAGGCCUUUUCUGACCUCCUUUUAAAGAGAAUUUUCUCCUAUGUCACCUCCCCUAAGUUCUCACAUCUACCAAUCACAGUAGAUGUUUUCACAGGUUGACCAUUCUUAAUUCACACCUUCUUUAGUUCUCAACUUCUCUGGGUAGACUAAAACUUCUGAGUAAGUUCACACCUCUUUGCCCCUUGUAAGUUUGCAAGUUGCCUGACCUUUAUAGGUACUUAGCACCUUUUUGUAUUAGAUCUAAAAAUAGACUUAGCUUAAGGCUUUUGCCUCACUAUAAGUAUGGGUUAAGUACCUUCAUUGUUCACUAAAGAGUUUACAACUUUAUCUUCCCCUAAAGUAUGCUUAAGUAUAGGUGGAGUAAGGUUAGAAUUCUCACAUUCCUGACCAAAGUCCCUUCAUUGUUUAAAAUGGGGAAUGGUCUUAACCAAAUCUUCUGAAGUAGGGUCUGAGAAUUUUUAAGAUUCACAGAAGUGUCAUUCCCUCAUGUGAUUUUUUUUUGUCAUUCUCAGGGAUAUAGGGAGCCAGCAUAAUAGUAAAAUUUUUUGCUUGUCUGAGUACUUCACAAAGAGUGUAGAUACAAGGAAGUCCUGCGACUUAACAUAUGUCAAGCAUCGCAACCUUGAAUUAGGGAAUUAGGGGAAGUGACACUAGAAAAAAAAGGUCUUUAAAAGGAAGAGAGGAGGACCUGAUCAAGGUUCUUCUGGGAGUAUGAAAGAGACACACUUGUAGAGGAGCCUCCUGUAAGAAGCAGUUCUACCGGGGCUGAGGAUGGUAAAGAAUCUGGUGAGUGUAAAGGCUGACUUCCUUCCUUGGACUUUCUGGAGGCAUUAGCUUCUGGGAAAGGCCCAUCCUCUUGAGACUCCUUUCCCCUAGCUGGAGCCUUAGAAUUGUUACCUGGCUCAGAGGAAGCCAAAGAUUUUUCUCUCUUCCUUAAUAUUUUCCCUCUAUUGUAAAAUAAACUACCAUAAAUUCCA